rnacentral:rRNA from 1 species
GGAGGGAUCAUUACCGAGUUAUCCAACUCCCAACCCCUGUGAAUCAUACCUUUAAUUGUUGCUUCGGCGGGACUUCGCGCCCGCCGGGGACCCGAACCUUCUGAAUUUUUUAAUAAGUAUCUUCUGAGUGGUUAUUUAUUUAAAUGAAUCAAAACUUUCAACAACGGAUCUCUUGGUUCUGGCAUCGAUGAAGAACGCAGCGAAAUGCGAUAAGUAAUGUGAAUUGCAGAAUUCAGUGAAUCAUCGAAUCUUUGAACGCACAUUGCGCCCGUCAGUAUUCUGGCGGGCAUGCCUGUUCGAGCGUCAUUACGCCCCUCAAGUCCCCUGUGGACUUGGUGUUGGGGAUCGGCGAGGCUGGUUUUCCAGCACAGCCGUCCCUUAAAUUAAUUGGCGGUCUCGCCGUGGCCCUCCUCUGCGCAGUAGUAAAAUAGUGGCGUAGCUGGUCCCUCCACUCGCAACAGGAGCGCGCGCCCGCGGUCCACUGCCGUAAAACCCCCCAACUUAUAGUUGACCUCGAAUCAGGUAGGCCUUAUCG